UUUAAUUCAGUUGUUAUUAUAUGUAUAUAAAAUAAAAUACAAUAUUUAUACAUUUAUGUCAUGCAAUUAUGUGUGUAUGUUCACAUGUGUGAUCUCAAUAAGAACAGAACAUGCUUUCCUGGAACACUCUGUCUGGUUUGAACAAGGUCUAUACAUUAAGCUGACGUAAUGUGUACUAGGACAUGCUGUUGCCUCUCUCCCCUUGUGGCUGAAACAUGUAUGGCUUGAUUGGUCUGGGCAAUCUGUAAGCUUGUUUUGAGAUUCUACAGCCUUUAUCCUAGCAUGAGCUUCAAAUAGCUGUUUGUAUGCAGGAUUAGCAAUUAGAGUGGAGGUCUGCUGUGGUAAAAACGAUUAUGGGCUAAAUGUGCGCACAGGGUAUAUAGACUCUAUGCAUCUCAGAGUUCAGGGAGCUAAUAGCAAAAGGGAACGUGGUGACUUUAUCAGACCAUUCAAAAAGCAAAUAGAAAACAGCCAGCCCAUGGUUUCAGAGUCUCACCCCAAACGCAGUGGAAACUAGAAAGGCAAAGAAAAA